rnacentral:rRNA from 1 species
UUUGUCACACUGCCGAGAAAAGCUUCUAGUUAGAAAACAACGGCCCGUACCGUAAACCGACACAGGUAGUCGAGGAGAGUAUCCUAAGGUGUGCGAGAGAACUCUCGUUAAGGAACUCGGCAAAAUGACCCCGUAACUUCGGGAGAAGGGGUGCUGUUCGCAAGAACAGCCGCAGUGAAUAGGCCCAAGCGACUGUUUAUCAAAAACACAGGUCUCUGCAAAAUCGAAAGAUGAAGUAUAGGGGCUGACGCCUGCCCGGUGCUGGAAGGUUAAGAGGAGUGCUUAGCGCAAGCGAAGGUACGAAUUGAAGCCCCAGUAAACGGCGGCCGUAACUAUAACGGUCCUAAGGUAGCGAAAUUCCUUGUCGGGUAAGUUCCGACCCGCACGAAAGGCGUAACGAUUUGGGCACUGUCUCAACGAGAGACUCGGUGAAAUUUUAGUACCUGUGAAGAUGCAGGUUACCCGCGACAGGACGGAAAGACCCCAUGGAGCUUUACUGUAAUUUGAUAUUGAGUGUCUGUACCGCAUGUACAGGAUAGGUAGGAGCCGUAGAGAUCGGGACGCUAGUUUCGAUGGAGGCAAUGGUGGGAUACUACCCUUGCGUUAUGGCCACUCUAACCCGCAUCACUAAUCGUGAUGGGAGACAGUGUCAGAUGGGCAGUUUGACUGGGGCGGUCGCCUCCUAAAAGGUAACGGAGGCGCCCAAAGGUUCCCUCAGAAUGGUUGGAAAUCAUUCGUAGAGUGCAAAGGCAAAAGGGAGCUUGACUGCGAGAGCUACAACUCGAGCAGGGACGAAAGCCGGGCUUAGUGAUCCGGUGGUUCCGCAUGGAAGGGCCAUCGCUCAACGGAUAAAAGCUACCCUGGGGAUAACAGGCUUAUCUCCCCCAAGAGUCCACAUCGACGGGGAGGUUUGGCACCUCGAUGUCGGCUCGUCGCAUCCUGGGGCUGUAGUCGGUCCCAAGGGUUGGGCUGUUCGCCCAUUAAAGCGGCACGCGAGCUGGGUUCAGAACGUCGUGGGACAGUUCGGUCCCUAUCCGUCGCGGGCGUUGGAAAUUUGAGAGGAGCUGUCCUUAGUACGAGAGGACCGGGAUGGACUUACCGCUGGUGUACCAGUUGUCUCGCCAGAGGCAUCGCUGGGUAGCUAUGUAGGGAAGGGAUAAACGCUGAAAGCAACUAAGUGUGAAGCCCACCUCAAGAUGAGAUUUCCCAUUUCUUUAAGAAAGUAAGAUCCCUGAGAGAUGAUCAGGUAGAUAGGUCAGGAGUGGAAGUGCAGCGAUGUACGGAGCGGACUGAUACUAAUCGAUCGAGGACUUAACCG